CCUACGUGUGGCUGCAGUGGGGAAUAUUUGGCAAUGGGCGCAAGCCUGACCCAGCAACGCCGCGUGAAGGAAGAAGGCUUUCGGGUUGUAAACUUCUUUUGUCAGGGACGAAGCAAGUGACGGUACCUGACGAAUAAGCCACGGCUAACUACGUGCCAGCAGCCGCGGUAAUACGUCGGGGGCAUGAGUUAUUCGGAUUUACUGGGUGUAAAGGGCGAGUAGGCGGUGAAGCAAGUCAGAUGUGAAAACCACGGGCUCAACCUGUGGCCUGCAUUUGAAACUGUUUUUCUUGAGUGCUGGAGAGGCAAUCGGAAUUCCGGGUGUAGCGGUGAAAUGCGUAGAUAUACGGAGGAACACCAGUGGCGAAGGCGGAUUGCUGGACAGUAACUGACGCUGAGGCGCGAAAGCGUGGGGAGCGAACAGGAUUAGAUACCCUAGUAGUC
rnacentral:rRNA from 1 species